UACGAAGGGGGCUAGCGUUGCUCGGAAUCACUGGGCGUAAAGCGCACGUAGGCGGCUUCUUAAGUCAGGGGUGAAAUCCUGGAGCUCAACUCCAGAACUGCCUUUGAUACUGAGAAGCUUGAGUCCGGGAGAGGUGAGUGGAACUGCGAGUGUAGAGGUGAAAUUCGUAGAUAGUCGCAAGAACCCCAGUGGCGAAGGCGGCUCACUGGCCCGGUACUGACGCUGAGGUGCGAAAGCUAGGGGAGCGAAAGGG
rnacentral:rRNA from 1 species